AUUGAACGCUGGCGGCAGGCUUAACACAUGCAAGUCGAGCGAGCGGCGGACGGGUGAGUAAUGUCUGGGAAACUGCCUGAUGGAGGGGGAUAACUACUGGAAACGGUAGCUAAUACCGCAUACCAUCAGAUGUGCCCAGAUGGGAUUAGCUAGUAGGUGGGGUAACGGCUCACCUAGGCGACGAUCCCUAGCUGGUCUGCGAGGAUGACCAGCCACACUGGAACUGAGAAAGGGUCCGGACUCUUACGGGAGGCAGCAGUGGGGAAUAUUGCACAAUGGGCGAAAGCCUGAUGCAGCCAGGCAGCGUGUGUGAAGAAGGCCUUCGGGUUGUAAAGCACUGUCAGCGGGGAGGCGUUACCCGCAGAAGAAGCACCGGCUAACUCCGUGCCAGCAGCCGCGGUAAUUC
rnacentral:rRNA from 1 species